rnacentral:rRNA from 1 species
UAAACUAGGAUUAGAUACCCUAUUAUUCAUAAUAUAAAUUUUUACCUAGGUAUUAAUAGUUUUGUUCUUUAAACCUAAAGAAUUUGGCGGUGUUUUAGUCUAUUCAGAGGAAUUUGUCUCGUAAUCGAUAUUCCCCGUUUUAUCUUUCUUUAAUUUGUUAUAUCAUUUUGUAUACCGCCGUUAUAAGUUUAUUUUUAUAGAAUUAUUUACUUUAAAUUUUAUUUUAUUAUAUUUCA